AGCCAUGUGAUGAGCACAAAGCGAACUAUUCUUUCGCCUUUUACUAAAGAAUACCGUGUGCUCGUCACUGACAGUGGCAUACGCCUAUUUUUGGAGGGUUUGUCCUUUUGGAUCAAACCC
rnacentral:snRNA from 1 species